AGAUGAAAUGCCUUAGUAGGGAUGGACAUUGAAUAAAUAUACUGAAGAAAUGUAAUAUAAAUAACGUUAAAGUUUUCACUAAAAGGUACUGAUAAUAAUAUGAGCCAGAGUCACUGGGAUCUUUGUCAAAAGUAUGUCGAAGAUGAUGCAAUUAGUUUUUCUAGGUUUAAUAUAUUUUCCAGUAAACUUCAGACCGUAGAAUACUUA